AAAGAAAGAAGAAGAAGAAGAAAGCCCAACAUGACAGUGACUUCAGGUGAGAAGUUGAUUUUUCCACCAUCUAUCCUUUGAGCAUGUCCAAAUUCUUCAUAUGAUCAUGUUAUGCGAAUUCUCUCAAUUUUUUUAUAAAUAAAAUAAAAACUGAACCUUAUAACUUGCAAUUUAAAACAUGUUUAGUACUACAUUGAAUAGAAAAAUAUACCGGCGUGUGGCUUCCAUCAAAAGU
rnacentral:misc_RNA from 1 species